UACGAAGGGGGGCUAGCGUUGUUCGGAAUUACUGGGCGUAAAGCGCGCGCAGGCGGUCUUCCAAGUCAGUGGUGAAAGCCCGGAGCUCAACUCCGGAACUGCCAUUGAAACUGUAAGACUUGAGGACGAGAGAGGUGAGUGGAAUUCCCCAGUGUAGAGGUGAAAUUCGUAGAUAUUGGGAAGAACACCAGUGGCGAAGGCGGCUCACUGGCUCGUAUCUGACGCUCAGGCGCGUCAGCGUGGGGAUCAAACAGG
rnacentral:rRNA from 1 species